GCUUAGGGGGUGCUGGGAAGGGCCCGGGUUGGGGGCUCGUGGUUCCAUCCCCUUGACUUAACUGACAGCUGAUUUAUGCUCUAAACUCAUUUUUACUUUUCCGUUGUUGCUUAUUUCCCACAGCAGCAGAAUGAGAACGGUUUUAUUGGCAUCAGGGACGGAGUGGAAUAUGGUCCACUGAAAAACGUCACUCCUUUCUAGAAUGAUGAGGGGGGUCCAAGUUUACACAGCUAGUAAACAGUGAAUCCAGUAUAGAACAGAAACCAGUCUGGCUCCAGUGGCCUACUUUCAGCCACCAUGCUCUCUAUUGCUUAUGUUACUACAAGAUAUUGAAUGUAGUUACCAAGAAACCUAUACUUCUUACAUUUAGUGCUUUGUAUCCUUAAUUUGAUUUAUUUAAUAAAUUGUAAUAAUUUGUUGAAGGUAUAUCUUCCCCUCCAGUUUUUGAACUCUUCUGCUUCCCCGCCAUGUUCUACCACCUAACUAGCAUGGUAUGGUGGUGACACAGCCCUUC